AUGCAGGGCAUAACCAAGGUCGCGGACCUGCUGCUACCAGAUGGGAAGAGUUGGGAUGCACAUAAAAUACAGGAGAUGUUCACUCCAACGGAUGCUAGUGAUAUAAGGCAAAUUGCUGUAGGCGAGCCGGGAGUUGAUGAUUUUUUGGCGUGGAAUUACACGAAGAGUGGCGUGUUCUCAGUGAGGUCUGCAUAUCAUUUGAGGAUGGCAAUGAAACGAGCGAGGACCGGACAGCCGGGUCACUCAAACUCUGUUCAGGGCCACAAAGGGUAUAUGGGACUAUGGAGUACAAAUGCACCGGGCAAAGCGAAGAUUCUGGACAUGUCAGCAUUCAUCACAAUUCUGGCAGUUGAUGCAAGUGGAAAAGGGAGUUUCGGUGGCGAUCCCACCGAGUCCGAUGAACUCUCGAGUGCAUUAGCAAGCUGGUUGUUGGGAUGGUUCGCGGGGGCAGCCGACGAGGAGAAGGAGGCGAUGAUACAGUCAGUUUAUGGCCUAUGGCUCGCGCGUAAUGAGGCUAGAGAUGGCAAGAAGAUUGCUUCUCCACAUGAGAUAAUGAUGUCCGUGUAUGAUCACAUGCAGGAAUGGAAGCAGAUUCAUGUAGCAAAGCCGCGACAGCCGGCUCCCAGGAUUGUUGAGAAGUGGAACCCUCCUGACGAUGGUUGGCUCAAGAUCAACGCUGAUGGAGCAACUUCGACACAUGGUGACAAAGGAGGUGGUGGUGCGGUUAUUCGGGAUCAACAUGGGGCGUUCCGGGCGGGCUUCUGUCAUUUCUUUCCAAACACAACUGACCCGAAGGCGGUGGAGACCCUUGCGUGUAGGCGUGCUUUACAGUUGGCAUCAGAUAUGAAUGCGGUAAGGGUUCAUGUGGAGUUGGAUAGCCAAACGCUGGUGAAGAUGAUUCGCCAAGAGGAGAAGGUGUUGUCCGCUGUUGGUCCCUGGAUUCAGGAAAUUAAGGACAUGCUCAACUCGUUUACAGAGUUCAAGGUUGCUUGGGUUAGGAGAUCAGCCAAUGUCGCAGCACACAAGCUUGCUAGAGUAGGGCGAAAUCCCUUGGGAGAUUUUCUAUACAAGAAGCAGUUAAGCUUGGCCUGCUCUGCCCUGCCCUGCCCUCUUCUUCCUCCUCUUCCCUUCUCCAUCCAGGAGAGGACUGCUUCAGGUUGGGCACCCCCCUCUCUCUCCCCCUCCUUUUUUUUCCCUGCGUGUUUCCGCUACGCUAAUCCAUUUCUAGUUCUUGGCCGGGCAUGCGCUCCCGAUCUUCCCUGCUCUAAUUUUCUGCGCUUUAUCUCCAGGUUCUCCUUCUUCCAGGCGCUUUCCUCACCCCCAAUCGCGGCCAAAAUUCCGGACCUUUUCCAGCGGCAGAACCGUUGA
rnacentral:rRNA from 1 species